rnacentral:rRNA from 1 species
UACGGGAGGCAGCAGUGGGGAAUAUUGCACAAUCGACGGAAGGUCUGAAUGCAAGCAACGCCUGCGUGGACGGAAUGACACAUUGACGGUGGGUAAACUCCUUUUAUACUGCGAAGAUAAUGAGCGUAUCUCUGA